CACCUCCCGCCGCGCACCCACUACCCCGCGCUGACACCCGCUUUUCCGGGUCUGCAGCGGGCUGAUCCCGGCUGUAUCGCCCGGUGUCUUGUCCCCGCCUCUCCCGUUCCUGCCGAGAGGAGGGCGGGGCGAGGGGGCAGAGUCCUGCCCCCGCCCCCCCGCGGGCAAUCACCUGGGGCCGGUGGUGCAGGUGCCUCGAGGUGACCUUGCGGCGGGCUGGGUAGAGUCCCUGCGCAGGACGCAGGACGCGGGGCGCGAGCUCCGGCCGGUGAGUGUUGGCGGGUGGAGGCCCAGACGUCGCGCCUGCUUGCGGCCCGCGGCCUGCGGUCCACUGGCGCUCCUGCUCGCGGCUUCCCCGGCGGGCGUAUCCAGUGCUUGUCUGUUCCUCGAGGGCGCGGGAGUGGGACCGCGGACAGAGAGCCUUCGUGCCCCGGACUGGGCCGCUGUGAUUUCUGCUGGCGGACUCCGGAGGAAGGUACGGCCCAGAGCCCCGCGAGGAGCGCCAGCAACUCAACUUCCAGAGAUAACCCACACCAGCAAAGGAUAG
rnacentral:lncRNA from 1 species